AACGAACGCUGGCGGCAUGCCUAACACAUGCAAGUCGAACGAGACCUUCGGGUCUAGUGGCGCACGGGUGCGUAACGCGUGGGAAUCUACCCUUGGGUUCGGAAUAACAGUUAGAAAUGACUGCUAAUACCGGAUGAUGACGUAAGUCCAGAGAUUUAUCGCCCAAGGAUGAGCCCGCGUAAGAUUAGCUUGUUGGUGGGGUAAUGGCCUACCAAGGCGACGAUCUUUAGCUGGUCUGAGAGGAUGAUCAGCCACACUGGGACUGAGACACGGACGAGAAUCCUACGGGAGGCAGCAGUGGGGAAUAUUGGACAAUGGGCGAAAGCCUGAUCCAGCAAUGCCGCGUGAGUGAUGAAGGCCUUAGGGUUGUAAAGCUCUUUUACCAGGGAUGAUAAUGACAGUACCUGGAGAAUAAGCUCCGGCUAACUCCGUGCCAGCCGCCGCAGUAA
rnacentral:rRNA from 1 species